CUACGGGAUGCUCCAGUGAGGAAUAUUGCACAAUGGGGAAACCCUGAUGCAGCAACGCCGCGUGGAGGAUGACGCAUUUCGGUGUGUAAACUCCUUUUAUGAGUCAAGAAAAUGACGGUAGCUCAUGAAUAAGCACCGGCUAACUCCGUGCCAGCAGCCGCGGUAAAACGGAGGGUGCAAGCGUUACUCGGAAUCACUGGGCGUAAAGGACGCGUAGGCGGGAUGUCAGGUCAGGUGUGAAAUCCUAUGGCUCAACCAUAGAACUGCACUUGAAACUGGCAACCUAGAGUAUGGGAGGGGGAGAUGGAAUUAGUGGUGUAGGGGUAAAAUCCGUAGAUAUCACUAGGAAUACCGAAAGCGAAGGCGAUCUCCUGGAACAUUACUGACGCUAAGGCGUGAAAGCGUGGGGAGCAAACAGGAUUAGAUACCCUUGUAGUC
rnacentral:rRNA from 1 species